rnacentral:rRNA from 1 species
AUGGGGCCUCUUCAAGCUUUCUGGGCAUGGCGAACUGGAGAGCAGAGCAUGCCCAACAUAUGGCGCUCGCUUGACGCCAUGGACGACCAGGAGGGAGGUCUCAUAUUCUCCGUCCAAUUUGAUCCGAUGAGGGCGGGCUUCGAUCCUACUCUGAUCAGCUUCCCUGUUCCAUCGCUGAUUAGUCGCCUUCUCGGAUGGAGUAACAACAGUGGUCAAGGGAGGCCGCAGGGAUCCGUGAUGGUCGUCGCCGCUGCUGUUGCUCUUUACGUGGCUGUGCUCUUUGUUUCCGGUCAGCAGCCUCGCCGGCGACGUCUGGCUGCUUCUGCUGCAGCUAGGCCAACUUCUGCAGUCAGACUCAGACCUCGUGCUCUGCCUCUGCCUGCGCCGGACAGUGGGCUCCUCAGAAUUCUGUCAUGGAAUAAUCACCAAUAUCUGGAGAACGUGGUUCACAGCGCGUCCAUCGGUGCCCGGGACGAUGAGCCGGUUCCGGUGGCAAGAGUUCAGAGCAUGCCACCCGACGUGGCUGGAGCAACCUCUGCAUUGGAAACGAAGCACGGUCAGCUGGUCAAGGAGGAGGAGGUCGAGCGGUUCAAGGAGCUGUGGCUGUCGCUCGUGGAGCGGGAGCAGAGGCUAGAGCUCCGGCUGAUGCACCUCGAUGGCCUUAGAGAGCAGCUCGAGCACCGCGUCAGCGUCGCCGCCGUGGAGACUUGGAUCCUGAAGCUCAAUGCCUUGUUACUGCAUGAGGAGAACGAGAGGCUCAAGACCCAGGCGGCGGAGCUGGAGGCCGUCCGGGCGCAGCUGCGUCGCGCCAAUGAGAAGCUGCGUGCGCUCAAGGAGCGGGUGCAGGUCGAGCGGGUGGAAUCUCAGAGGGAGGCGGCGAUGCUCCGGGACAAGGUUAUGGAUCUGGAACUGACGGGCGGGAGGAGGGAGAGGGCGUUUGCCGCGGAGGCGGCUACGCUAUGGAAGGCCAAGGCCGGGCUGGAGGAGGAGAACAGGGAGCUUGCUCUGAGGCUGCAGCAUGCGGAGCAGGUCUCCUCCUCUGUUACUGUUAGUCUGGUUCAUGAGGACGACAUCGUUGAUGAAGCAAACUACCUGAGGGAGGCGAACGACAGGUUGACCAGGCAGAUCGAGCAGCUACGCAGCGACCACUGCGUGCAUGUCGAGGAGCUCGUCUACCUCAAGUGGGUCAACGCCUGCCUCCGCCACGAAAUCCGUGGCAGAGACCACCACCCCUCGUCCGCCCAACAAGAUCAGGACGGUGAUGGCAGAGCCAUGACGUCGGCCAUGGAUCUGAGCAAAAGCAUGAGCUACCGCUCCAGCGAGAAGGCCAAGGAGCUCAUGCUGCGGUAUGGCAGCCUCGGCCUGGGCGGCUACGACCCCGCGCUCUUCUCGCCGCUUAACGAGACGACAGACCGCGACGGCAAAAAUCACCAGCUGCGUUUUGGAGAUCACGACGAGCCAUGGCGGAGCCCAGUCAUGCCGCCGGCAGUCGCGGCCACGCCCAAGAAUCCUGCCGGGCAUGGCAAGCUCAAAUUUGUGAGGAAUAUCAAGAAGCUGCUAGCUAGCAGAAGAAGAAGCCAAGGCCACAACCACAAGAGCGAGAAGAAGGCGAUGCGGUGGCUGUCCUCCAGCAGCCACGACGCGCUCUCCGGAGACAGCUCGUACGAGAGCACGCCGCUGUCGUCCUGCCAGCGGACACGGCUGAGCAGCGUGACGACCGUGGACUUGGACGCCCGUGCGCGCGGCGGGGAGGCGGCCGCAGAGGUGCCUGUCGCGUCGAGGCCGGAGGCGGAUACUCAGGGUUAA